rnacentral:lncRNA from 1 species
UGGUUCAUCUUUCAGAGAGACUAAAGGGAUGAGGAGAGAGUGGAGGGAGGAGAGGAAGCAUGAGAAGCACAGAAAUACACAGUAGAGAUGAAGCGAGAGAGAGAGCAGUAGAAUCCCAGGGAGAGAGCGAGAGAGAGCAGUAGAAUCCCAGGGAGAGAGCGAGAGAGAGCAGUAGAAUCCCAGGGAGAGAGAGAGCGCAGUAGAAUCCCAGGGAGAGAGCAGUAGAAUCCCAGGGAGAGAGAGAGAGCACAGUAGAAUCCCAGGGAGAGAGCAGUAGAAUCCCAGGGAGAGAGCAAGAGAGAGAGAGCAGUAGAAUCCCAGGGAGAGAGAGAGAGCAGUAGAAUCCCAGGGAGAGAGAGAGAGCAGUAGAAUCCCAGGGAGAGAAUAUACAGAAUAUACAGACUACUACUGUAUAUUCAGCUUGGUCUCUCCACAGGAGCCUGUUUAAUGACCGACGAGUUUGGAAGUAAUUAUUGGUUAUCAACCUGAUAAUAGUCAUUGCUCCAUUUUACAUCGCAGUUUCCACAUACUUAUACAAUUAUGGCAAAUUAUUACCGGAGCAGUAGUUUGGGGCUCUCGAUUGCAUACUUUAAAUUUCAAACGUGCCGUACAACUGUGGCUGUCAUUAUUAGAAUAUUAUAUAAUGUAUAAUAUUUAAGGGGAAAUACAAAAAUAAUGGUAUGCAGAAAAAUCUAAACCUCACCAGGGUAAAAACGCAACUAAAAAAAUACUAUCAUAGCUUCAGAGAUAUUUGUAUCGCUUAGAAUCCUGAAAAUGUCCUGAUAUGUACGAACAAAACACCAACUCUGCGAUUCAAUCAGAGACACAUUGUGAACAAGACUGAUAUGCUUUACUAUAGUUUAUAAGCAGGUGAUGGUGACUACAACCUUGGUUGAAUAUUUACUCUGGUCAUUUAUGACUAUUAUCUCUAACAAAUAAAAGACAAAUAAGCCAAGUGCUUCCUGCAGAGCUAACCUGAAUCCUACAUGUGUGUUUGUAUGCUGGAGAGCGAGAGAGGAGAUGGUGAUAGCGAGAGAGAAAGAGAGAGACUGUGUGUAUUAGCUCCCUCUGAGGAAGGAAGUCAUCCAUUUUACACGACUGGGCUGUGCAGAGGACUUCUUGGGCUUUCAUUAGCAG